ACCCGGCGGUUGGCGCCGUUAGUCUCGCGGAGUGGAGCCUGUCGGUGUUCCUUGUUCUGAACGCCCGCCCUAUCGCCAUACAGUGGAUAAACCGCUCUCUGGUUAGGGUGGGACGACUGCAAGGAGGCCCCGCCUGGCCCGGCCUCCGGGUAGAGGGCACUGCUCAGGGCGCAGAAACCUGUUGAAGCCACGGCAGCAAGCCAGUGAGGAAACUGCUAGGACCCCCAGGCGAGGAUGUAGGCAGGUGGAGAACGAGCCGGUUCAUCCAUGAAACUGUCCCAAGGGCUUACCGAGCCUGUGCACUUCUAAAUUGCACAUCAAACCCGAGGUGGAGACUUGGGGAGAGUACCAUACAAGCUGCCAGGAGGCUGGAACCUGGCGCCUACUCCGGAGUCUAGCUUCCUUCUGAAAUACCCAGGAAGGUCUGCGAAGGAUAAAUGGUUCUCCACUUUUGUCUGAAUUGUUCAAGGCCAUGGAGCAACUCGUUAGAAUCGGAGCCACAGUCAGGAGACCCAUCUACACCUCAGCUGCUGUAUGGACGAAACCUCUUUCUUGCCUACAGUUCUUUUUCUCUCCUAGGAUGGUUGUGGCACCUUGGAGACAGACCCAGGAGCCAAAGUCAUAGAACAGGCCAGGGUCUGGCCACCUGUGGACCUCCUGUCCAUGCCCAUAACCAAAGACCACCAGGAACAAA